ensembl:lncRNA
GGGGGGUGGGGUGGGGGUGGGGAGGUCUAUUUGGGGGCACGCGUGGUGGGUUGGGGACAUAUGUGGUGGGUUGGGGACGUCUAUUUGGGGGCAUGCAUGGUGGGUUGGGGACAUAUGUGGUGGGUUGGGGACAGGGGAUGGGUUGGGGAGGUCUAUUUGGGGGCAUAUCUGGUGGGUUGGGGACAGGGGGUGGGUUGGGGACACACGUGGUGGGUUGGGGAGAUCUAUUUGGGGGUAUGCGUGGUGGGUUGGGGACGGGUGGUGGGUUGGGGACACAUGUGGUGGGUUGGGGACGGGGGAUGGGUUGGGGAGGUCUAUUUGGGGGCACUCGUGGUGGUUUGGGGAUGGGUGGUGGGUUGGGGACACCUCU